GUGACGUUACUCGACUGGCGAAGAGGGGAGGUCGUGACCCUCCUGGGACGGGUUCGAUUCCCGUACGUCACC
rnacentral:tRNA from 1 species